rnacentral:sRNA from 1 species
GUUCGCAGGAAACUGCAGCCGUGGGCG